AUUUGCAAAAUGUACAAUUUUUUGAAUCUUUGGGAAAGUUCAAUAAAAGUACAUAUUUAUUUUGUUUAUUUUUCCAUAUGCCGUGGUAACUGGAGACAUUCUGUAUGAAUUAUAUGAACCUUCCACCAGUAAGACAUUUCGCGAUGAAAUUCGUGAUUUUACGUUUCAAUUAAUUCAAAAUCGUUUGACCUUCACCGCCUGCGGAUUCUACGAUUUAGAUCAUACACUUAUAUAUAACGCGAUCAGUUUCAUUACUACCUAUCUCGUUAUUCUUAUGCAAAUCGGAGAUAAACCAGUAUUCUUCGAUGAUACGAAUUAUAAUUCAACGUCGAUAACAGAACGAAUGAAUUAAAACGUUCCUUUAGACGAUAAAUGCAUAAC